rnacentral:tRNA from 1 species
UCCGAGGUCGUCUAACGGCAGGACAGUGCCCUUUGAAGGCGCUUAUCUUGGUUCGAAUCCAAGCCUCGGAA